UUGGUUGGAGUCUCAACAAGAAUCACAACCAAAACAAUACAGAAUAGAAUUUGUAUUCAUAUUGUUCAUUGAGAAUGACUUCACCAAGCAGUCGCAAUGCCACCAAAAAGCAAGAAAGCGUAGCCAAGGAUUUGAUUGAGGGUGGACAAUCUUCUACUAAAAAUGGUUCUAGCAAUGGCACAGUGAAACAAACUGGAACCAGCACUGAGAAACUUCUGAAACCCGAUCCAGUGACUAAAGAUCCAAAGGGUCCUAGAAGCAAACGUCGAAAUUAAACAAUACCAAAUCACAAACAGGUUUACUUUCAAGUUCUCAUGUGGAUGGAAAAUAUGCAGCAACAAACUCUAUUAUAUAUUACUUCAAGAUUCAAUGUUUUUGUUUCCAACUUCGUUUAGAGUCUAGUGUUUACAAACUAAUGUGAGCUAAGAAAUAAGUCUACAUUGUUAUUAGUUAGUAAGUUAUGAUCUGGGAUUCACAUGUCUUUAUUUAUUUUUUCACAAGUUUGUAUUUGUAUUUGUAUUUGAUAAUAAAGUAACAUGUUAUAAUAAGAUUCAAGUUAAUAACGA